rnacentral:rRNA from 1 species
GUAGGUGGCAAGCGUUGUCCGGAAUUAUUGGGCGUAAAGCGCGCGCAGGCGGUCCUUUAAGUCUGAUGUGAAAGCCCACGGCUCAACCGUGGAGGGUCGAUUGGAAACUGGGGGACGUUGAGUACAGAAGAGGAAAGCGGAAUUCCAAGUGUAGCGGUGAAAUGCGUAGAGAUUUGGAGGAACACCAGUGGCGAAGGCGGCUUUCUGGUCUGUAACUGACGCUGAGGCGCGAAAGCGUGGGGAGCAAACAGGGAUUAGAUACCCUGGUAGUCCACGCCGUAAACGAUGAGUGCUAAGUGUUAGGGGGUUUCCCGCCCCUUAGUGCUGCAGCUAACCGCAUUAAGCACUCCGCCUGGGGAGUACGCCGCAAGGCUG